GAUAGGUACUGUUGUAAUAUUCAUAGUAUAAUAACAACAAACACAAACAAUUAUUUCCACCAAAUUUGGUAACAAUGACAGUUGUGGAGGCUGUGUUUAGAAGUAGGGAUUCCUUCUCAAUUCGAUUAUGCAGUUAGCUUGUCGGCUGUGGAGUGCUUCCAGUGGCUAAUGUUGCCUUGGAAAAAUCAAUAAAAGGCUGGCGAGAAGUAUAAAAUUAUCAAUUUGGCAAACCUUAAGUUCAGUUCAGUCCCUAUGUAGUUGUCAUGAAUUGUCUAGCUGGUAAACCUCGAGUGUUAUCCUUAUGUGGUUAACUGGAACCCAAAUGAUCAGAUUCAAAUAAAUAUUUUAAACAUGAUUAUUUGUGAACCAAAAUAUCAGACAGCAGUAAGCACUGGUGAGUUUUCUCUGGUUGAUGCAUACCAGGAGCUCCUAAUCUUCCUUUCUCAUCUCAUCAUGUUUAGUUGAACUCUGAAACUUAAUACUCAAGUCCAUAUGAAGUUGCUUAAGUUUAAUUUCCUAAAUGAUUGUUGAUUAGUUUGUGCAUUUGUAUUUAUGUUGAAGUUUUAUUAUGGUUACAGAAUGGCAAGUCAGCCAGCUACG
rnacentral:misc_RNA from 1 species